rnacentral:miRNA from 1 species
ACGUUUCAGCCAAACUACAUGGCUUUCAUCAGGAUCUUAACAGCUCAAAAAGCUGUUAAGAUCCUGAUGAAAGCCAUGUAGUUUGGCUGAAACG